UACGAAGGGGGCUAGCGUUGCCCGGAAUUACUGGGCGUAAAGCGCACGUAGGCGGUCUUUUAAGUCGGGGGUGAAAGCCCGGGGCUCAACCUCGGAAUUGCCUUCGAUACUGGACAUCUUGAGUACGGGAGAGGUGAGUGGAACUCCGAGUGUAGAGGUGAAAUUCGUAGAUAUUCGGAAGAACACCAGUGGCGAAGGCGGCUCACUGGCCCGUUACUGACGCUGAGGCGCGAAAGCGUGGGGAGCAAACAGG
rnacentral:rRNA from 1 species